rnacentral:tRNA from 1 species
UAGCUCAGUUGGUAAAGAAUCUGCCUUCAAUGCAGGAGACCCGGGUUCGAUUCCUGG